rnacentral:rRNA from 1 species
AAAACUUUCAACAACGGAUCUCUUGGUUCUGGCAUCGAUGAAGAACGCAGCGAAAUGCGAUAAGUAAUGUGAAUUGCAGAAUUCAGUGAAUCAUCGAAUCUUUGAACGCACAUUGCGCCCCUUGGUAUUCCGAGGGGCAUGCCU